CUCACAUGGAAUGCAAAACUGGAAUAGGAAGCACAACUCCGGAAUUGAGGACACCUGAAAACGGCGGGUAUCCAACUACUUAAAAGAAGGGUGGCGAUAUGGACCGGACCACAGCAACCGAGGAAGUGCGUUUUGCACACUUGAAGGACUUACCACUCAUACUGUAAGGACUUUUUAUUCUUAAAUUUGUUGUUUUUUAACCUUUAUGCACUUUUUGGCAAAUAAAGCACUUAAAUUAAUCAUUGGAUUGGUGACUACUAUCAAUGAUCUGAAACUACUGCAGUAUACAGAAGAGGGAGUGGGACCCUACAAAAUCCCACAACGCUGAUAUCUUGAGCCGAGAAUUUACUGGCUCUUUAUUUGUGAGUGUAAAUACAUAUUUCAAUCUACU